UACAUGGGGUGCAAACGUUGCUCGGAAUUAUUGGGCGUAAAGCGCACGUAGGUGGUUUGUUAUGUCGGAUGUGAAAGCCCUCGGCUCAACUGAGGAAGUGCAUCCGAAACUGGCAAGCUAGAGUAUGUAAGAGGGUCGCGGAAUUCCCGGUGUAGAGGUGAAAUUCGUAGAUAUCGGGAGGAACACCGGUGGCGAAGGCGGCGACCUGGGACAAUACUGACACUGAGGUGCGAAAGCGUGGGGAGCAAACGAGG
rnacentral:rRNA from 1 species